CGUAAGAAGACGCUUGGCGUUGUCGUGGAGCUUUGAGGAACUAUUUGCGAUGUAAACAUGUUUAUAGUAAUGGGCUUGUCGGGCAGUUAUGUUAGUAUGCAUACACUACUUGAUGUAUGUCACUAGUUAUAUACAUGUAGCGCUUAAAAUGCGAUUAUUACUAUGGGCUAUUUCGAUCAUCACAUUUCAUCUCGGGACUCUAAUACUACCAACAGGAGCAUGCUUCAGUAGAAACUAUGGCGAUGAAGCUCAUGAACCUGUCGUCCUGAUGGCCAAUGAUGAACCUCAAACAUUAACAUCUCCAGGAUACCCUAAUUCAUACCCACCGAGCUGUUUCCAGGAAGUCUCCUGAUGUGUUUUUAUGUGCCCAGGACAAGACAGUGUUCUUCAGCAAUGGGCGAGAAGCAACCAUUGUCUUUGUAACAAAUGAGCUUGGUUCAGGGAGAGGCUUCUUGUUAGAAUAUAAUCAGAUUGCUACACUGGAAGAAAAGUCGGAUCCUGUGCCAAUUUUUGUCGGAGUGUUUGGAUUCUUAGCGGUCAUAAUGUUCGUAGUUUGCUGUUAUGUGUUCGAUAGAAGACGAGCUGACCGCAGGUCCCAACGGAUGCCACAACCUCGUGCUCUACGGUCUCAUUAUCCAAGACCUCCGACCAGAGACUUGGCAAGCCCUUUCCUCCGAAACAAUAGUACGACUGAAACUAACGAUACAUCUGGUAAUGCAAGGAGUACAAGUAACUCCAGGAACACUAAUAACCUACCACCAACAUACCAGGAAGUGUAUGUUGGACCUUCACCUGACACUGAUCGCAGAUCAUCUGCCCCUCCGAUGGCAUUACCCCCAAGUUAUGAAGAUGCAGUUAGCAAGGGGAUGAUUCUUGGUGAUAGAGAAACAACGCUUUGAUGUCACUUGUAGACAAACAUUUUGUCUAAAAAUGACAAUAUUUAAAGAAAAAUAUUUAGGUGUUGUUGACCUGACACUGUUGCUUGUGAUGUUUCAGAGUAAGCUAUGUUGACCUGACCAUGUUGUUGCUGAUGUUUCAGAGUAAGCUAUGUUGACCUGACCGUGUUGUUGCUGAUGUUUCAGAGUAAGCUAUGUUGACCUGACCGUGUUGCGAGUGAUGUUUCAGAGUAACCUAUGUUGAUCUGACCGUGUUGUUGCUGAUGUUUCAGAGUAAGCUAUGUUGACCUGACCGUGUUGUUGCUUGUGAUGUUUCAGAGUAACCUAUGUUGACCUGACAGUGUUGUUGCUGAGGUUUCAGAGUAAGCUAUGUUGACCUGACCGUGUUGUUGUUGCUGAUGUUUCAGAGUAAGUUAUGUUGACCUGACCGUGUUGCGAGUGAUGUUUCAGAGUAACCUAUGUUGAUCUGACCGUGUUGUUGCUGAUGUUUCAGAGUAAGCUAUGUUGACCUGACCGUGUUGUUGCUUGUGAUGUUUCAGAGUAACCUAUGUUGACCUGACAGUGUUGUUGCUGAGGUUUCAGAGUAAGCUAUGUUGACCUGACCGUGUUGUUGUUGCUGAUGUUUCAGAGUAAGCUAUGUUGAUCUGACCGUGUUGCUUGUGAUGUUUCAGAGUAAGCUAUGUUGAUCUGACCGUGUUGCUUGUGAUGUUUCAGAGUAAGCUAUGUUGACCUGACCGUGUUGUUGCUUGUGAUGUUUCAGAGUAAGCUAUGUUGACCUGACCGUGUUGUUGCUGAGGUUUCAGAGUAAGCUAUGUUGACCUGACAGUGUUGCUUGUGAUGUUUCAGAGUAAGCUAUGUUGACCUGACCGUGUUGCUAGUGAUGUUUCAGAGUAACCUAUGUUGACCUGACCGUGUUGUUGUUGCUGAUGUUUCACAGUAACCUAUGUUGACCUGACAGUGUUGUUGUUGAUGUUUCAGAGUAACCUAUGUUGACCUGACAUUGAUGUUGCUGAGGUUUCAGAGUAAGCUAUGAUGACCUGACAGUGUUGCUGCGAGUGAUGUUUCAGAGUAACCUAUGUUGACCUGACAGUGUUGUUGAUGUUUCAGAGUAAGCUAUGUUGACCUGACAGUGUUGUUGUUGAUGUUUCAGAGUAAGCUAUGUUGACCUGACAGUGUUGUUGUUGAUGUUUCAGAGUAAGCUAUGUUGACCUGACAGUGUUGUUGCUGAUGUUUCACAGUAACCUAUGUUGACCUGACCAGGGUUAAAAAACUAACAGUUUUUGUCCACUAGUCCUUAUAAUGAUAACAUAUAGCAAAACCCUUAAAAUGGGCCAAUUUCUACUAGUCCUUAGGAUACCUUUACUAUUGGGCAGUUUGGUAAGGACUAUAGGACUAGUGCCAAUUUCUGCUGCUGACAGUGUUGUUGCGAGUGAUGUUUCACAGUAACCUAUGUUGACCUGACAGUGUUGUUGUUGAUGAUCACAGUAAGCUAUGUUGACCUGACCGUGUUGUUGAGCUUGAUGUUACACAGUAACCUAUGUUGACCUGACAGUGUUGUUGUUGAUGAUCACAGUAAGCUAUGUUGACCUGACCGUGUUGUUGAGCUUCAUGUUACACAGUAACCUAUGUUGACCUGACAGUGUUGUUGUUGAUGUUUCAGAGUAACCUAUGUUGACCUGACAGUGUUGUUGCUGAGGUUUCAGAGUAACCUAUGUUGACCUGACAGUGUUGUUGCAAGUGAUGUUUCACAGUAACCUAUGUUGACCUGACAGUGCUGUUGUUGAUGUUUCAGAGGAACCUAUGUUGACCUGACCGCGUUGUUGCGAGUGAUGUUUCACAGUAAUAUGUUGAAUUGACAGUCUUGUUGUUGAUGUUUCAGAGUAACCUAUGUUGACCUGACCGUAUUGUUACUGAUUUUUCAGAGUAAGCUAUGUUGACCUGGCUGUGUUGUUUCUGAUGUUUCAGAGUAAGCUAUGUUGACCUGACCGUGUUGUUUCUGAUGUUUCAGAGUAAGCUAUGUUGACCUGACCAUGUUGUUGCUGAUGUUUCAGAAUAACUGAGCUGAGCUGCCAAUGUUGACCAUGAAUUUAGUUUCUAUGGAUAGAGGCAAUAUAUUACUUGUGAUCUAGAUCAAUGAAUAGCAUUUAUUAGCACUUACUAGGACAUUUAAUAGAACAUUUCAUAGCACUUUGUUUUGUAUAGCUUGACAAUCAUGAUUUCCUGUCUGCCACAAGGUCCAUCAAUGGGCAGUACUAUGUCACAGAACUGCAUCAGUUGAGAGAAGCUAUCAAGGAAAUAGGAGGAGUGCUACUGCUUCGGAGAGGUGAGCCUGUAUACAGAUUACAAGUGGCAUCAGUUGCAGCUGCAGAUUGUGACUUUGAGUUGCUUCUCCCAACCAAAAUACAAUGAUAGAGUAACAAGAUGAUUGCCACCAUCAAGGCAUCUUAGGUAGAUGGAGACUUCUACAGGACAGUGAUACCAAAACUGGAGCUUCACUGGAAUAAGUGUAUUGAAGUCAAAGGAGAUUAUAUUUAAAAAGAAUGCAAUUGAUUUUGCAAUUAACUUUUUCUGAGGAUACAUUCCUUGCUUAAAAGUAAUGUUUUCACUGCCUCCUGACUAGUCAUAAAAUUCAAUCAACGUUUAUAUCAGUGCAUACAUGGUAGCAAAAUAUUGAUGCUGACAAAACCUUGAAUGGCGGCUUCUUUCAUGUGUACAAGCUGUUACAUGAAUGUUCUAUUCAGUUGUCAGUUAAGUUACUUUGACAUGACAUAGUUUGUGGCAGCCUUACAUUGAUAUAGAGCUGAAGUCUCUACAUGCAUCUUGAAGCUCAAUCAUGUCCUUAUAAGAUAUAUUACUAUGCCAAGAAAAUGUUGAGGUUCUUUAUGAAAAUAAAGACUGGUGGGAGUAAAAUGUGUAUGUUAUUGUAUGACAGUUUUCAUAUCCUACCCCAUAUCAUCCCAAGAGCCCGAUAUCAGCCCUUAUUAUCCCUCAAAGUGAGAUCGACCAAUCAGAGAGCAGAACUACUAAACCCAUAUGAGCCUGUAUACCUUCAGUAAAUACCCAGGAUGGCUGUCACUGAUCUAAUGUGAGACCUUAUGCAUCAGUAACAGCAAUCUUGGAUUUUCCAACACCCUCCUCACAUAUAUCAUUUGAAAAUUCUGCUACAGAAAUUUGUUAUUUGACCCUGUUUUGUGUCUUUAUAUCAUUAGUUGUGAUGUGCAAGGACAUUAAAAAGAAAUUUAAAUCACGUUCAUGAUUUUAUUGAUAAAGAUAAUAGUUAAAAUAGUUAAAACAUUUCGGCAUAAUAUAUUUGUUAUAGUGUCUUUAUAUGCAGUACAUGGUGACAUAUUAGGUUAGCAGAAUAAUCAUGGCCAGGACUGACAGUUCUCAGACUGAUAUGGGUGGGGGGGGGGGGAAGGUCGAAACUGCCAUAUGAUAACCCUUUUAUCAUCUGGUAAUACCAUAACAUCAAAUUGUAAACUGUAUCUAUUUCUAAGUGAAAGCAAUAUAUUUUCACCUGUUUGGAAGACAGGUUAGCUUGCCAAGCAGACAAGAAAACCGCACACUAAGGGAUGUAACUCCACUUUCUUAACAUCUGAGCUGAUAUCAAUCGCCCAUUCAAAAUACUUUGAAAAGCAUUAUCUGGCUGGCAGGGGGUGUAAUACCGUCGGGUUAUUGCUUCCCCCUCUAUGUGAGCUCUAUCACACAUGCAAAAUGCCUUAUAUCAUUGAUAUGUGUAUGAUAAUUUCAUUUAUCAUCCAAGACUGGCUUCCACAGGAGAUAUCACUUGGGUGAGAUGUUGCAAUGAAAUGGCAUCACAAUUCUUUGAAGACCAUUGAGACUUGACAUCACAAUCAAAUAACAUCACAAGUCUCUCUGCCACUGAAGAUGGUUAGCUGUACCUCUUACUUAUAUCACUGUUUUCAAAAUGAAAAAUUUUGAAGAAUGAUUUUGUGUGAUAAGUAGAAUCUUACCCUCAUGUCUUUUUAUGUCAAAUAUAUCAACACUGGUCAAUAUAACCUUUAUCGACAAACAUCGAUAUUUGAUAUCAAAAGACAUGUGGGUAAUAUUUUCUCGUUCACUUUAUUAUAGUUGUUUAGGUAUUGCUAUUUCUUUUUUUAAAGUGAACAACUUUGUACUUUUUGUAAGGGUAAACAUCAAGAAUGAUGGGGGCCUAACAGAACUGCUUCUUGGUUAUUGUUUUUGCUCAAUUACACCAAAGAUGUAGUGAGUUACUGUGUGGGACAUUUUGGAGGAUCAUCCAUCCUAUGCCCAUCAUCUUACAUAAUAGAACUAAACUUGUGCUGCAAUCACUAUAUUAUCUGUGUCAUAUUUUAUGAAUUCUCAUUAGUCUGUAAAAACCUCACUUUCUAGAGGGUUAUUGUUGGGUAUGUCUUUAUAUAGAUUAAGGAUAUGCUGCUAUGUACCCAUGAUUUAAUAAUCCAGAAAAUUGUUAUUCUGUGCUCUGGGAUUAAUCCAGUUAGAUUAAUUUGGUUUCACUAUAGUUUGAUAUUAUAAGUGGAUGUUUAGUUCUGUGAAAGGAAUAAAAUUUGAAAGGUUAUCUUAUAUGAAACUAUAUCUCCCAAGAAGUCCCAAUUAGCUCUGAUCUAAGAAUUAGGUAAAGUAAUUUUUUCAAAAAGAUCAGAGUUGAAAUGUUGUGUUGUUUAUGUUUUAAAAGUUUUGCACCAAAGUUAUACAAUAUUACAUUUUACCUUUAUUGUAGUAGAUUAAGAAACAUUGUUGAAAUUUCGUUACUUGUUUCGUCAAGUGUUUAUGCAGAAUGUGUUUACUUUAAGUGUUUGUCCUCGUUGACUUUUUAUACUGUUGACUGCAUAUUUGCUUGCUCUAUAUUUAAUACUUUAAACACUGACCCACACAAUUUGUGUAAGGUUACAUGACCUUUCAUAAUGUAUCUUAUUUAUUCCUAAUGGUGCUACAAAGCAUGACUAUGUAUAACAUUUUGCUUUCAGAUUUUUUAUUGUUGUUUUGACCUGUGUAUGUAUUGUUUCCAUAUUUUUUUAUAUAUACUCCUUAGAUUCCUGCAUUCUCUUUAUACAUACCAUUUUGCAAUAUCUAACCAAAUGUCAUUAAAAUAUCAUCUUUUGA
rnacentral:misc_RNA from 1 species